rnacentral:sRNA from 1 species
GGCAAGGCAGGCGGCGCGGCCGGCCUCUUCGCCAAGCAAGUGCAGAAGAAGUUUAGCAGGGCCCAGGAGAAGCCCAACCUGCCUUCUACAACGGAGAAGUUUUGGUUUUCUAAGAGCUGAUGGACUUAGAAGCAUUUGGAUGAACAGCUCUGCUUACCAACUGAAAUAUCCCUAUUAUCUUCUAAAGGUGGAGCACUGGUUUGAGCCCUGGGAAGGCUUAAAGGCAACCAGCUCUCCCGAGUUGAUUUAUCAGCAGAAAACUGAUGGAAUGUAGAUGUAGCUCCUGACUUUAAGAGACCACAAUGGAAGGGAGGUUAUUUUCUAUCAUUUGAGGUCAUGUGAAAGAGAGGAGGAAAAGGGAAAGAGUUCAUGUAGCCAGACUUCGUUACUUCACUUACCCUAACUUCACCUUG